UUGCUUCUUCAGGGAAAGGUGCAAUUCCUUAACCGGCAGUUAUAGUCUGCGAGUCCUAGGACCGAUUUGGUGAAAUUCCAAAACCGACAGUAUAGUCUGGAUGGAAGAAGAUAUUA
rnacentral:ncRNA from 2 species